CAACCUCCCCUGUGCAGUUUCCCUUUGUGUGGACUUUGCAAUGCGUUGCCAAGGCAGUGAGGCCUGCUGGUCCUGGCAGUCCUGGAAUUCACUCUGUAGACCAGGUUGGCCUCUGCCUCCUGAGUGCUGGGAUUAAAGGCCUGCACCACCACCACCUCGACUGACACGGUUUCAUCUAGUCCCAGAAGCCAGGCAGUAUCACUCCUCUGCAUUCAAAGGGUGACAGCUGAGUUCCUAAGCAUCACCGUGACCCCAGCACUUUGAAGACUAGCAGGACAGAGUGACCUGAUGGCAGAAGAACCCUGGACAACAAAUCCCAGCCCGUGUCCUUCUGCCUGAAGCUCACGGAUGUGUGGUGCUGGGACAAACCCCUCUCCUCGAGGGGAUUCCGUUUCCUUAUCUGGGUAGGGUAGUUGGGCGGCCUAUUCUCCACCACCCUCCAGGCCAUCCCUCCAUAAUUCCUAUUUGUUUUCAGAAGGUGCUAGUCCUGCUGUCUAGCCCCAGGCUGCCCCUCAAACUUCCCUCUCUUUCGGCCUUUGCUUCUUAUGGACAGGAGUGCACGGAGUACAAGGUGAGAAAAUCACGUAUGUUGUCCAGAAGUAGGAGGGGCAGGGACCAGAAGUCGGCAGCAGAUCGGUGGCAUGCAUGAUGAUGCUGUGUUUGACCUGGUAACACACACACACACACACACACACACACACACACACACACACACACACACACACACACGAGCACAACCUGAAGUCCCUCCUGACCUCCCUUUUAGGCCUUGCCUGGGGUUCCAAAGGUGCUGCAGAGGACCUCCCUGGGUGUGCUUUUCUGGGUCUCUCCUGGAAGGGAGAGAUGCUGGGCAGGCAUCUUUGUGUUGUCUUUUAACACCAGUGACAGCUAAGUGUCCCGUGCUGCUUUCAAACUGG